GACGAACGCUGGCGGCGUGCUUAACACAUGCAAGUCGAACGAAGAGCGAUGGAAGCUUGCUUCUAUCAAUCUUAGUGGCGAACGGGUGAGUAACGCGUAAUCAACCUGCCCUUCAGAGGGGGACAACAGUUGGAAACGACUGCUAAUACCGCAUACGAUCUAAUCUCGGCAUCGAGGAUAGAUGAAAGGUGGCCUCUACAUGUAAGCUAUCACUGAAGGAGGGGAUUGCGUCUGAUUAGCUAGUUGGAGGGGUAACGGCCCACCAAGGCGAUGAUCAGUAGCCGGUCUGAGAGGAUGAACGGCCACAUUGGGCCUGAGACACGGCUCAGACUCCUACGGGAGGCAGCAGUGGGGAAUCUUCCGCAAUGGACGAAAGUCUGACGGAGCAACGCCGCGUGAGUGAUGACGGCCUUCGGGUUGUAAAGCUCUGUUAAUCGGGACGAAAGGCCUUCUUGCGAAUAGUGAGAAGGAUUGACGGUACCGGAAGAGAAAGCCACGGCUAACUACGUG
rnacentral:rRNA from 1 species